GGCGCACGGUGGUGGGCCGGGCUGGACCCGCGCAGCCGUCUGAAAAGCGGAAGGUCGGCGGUUCGACCCCGCCCCUGACCA
rnacentral:tRNA from 1 species